rnacentral:rRNA from 1 species
AGUCGAGCGAAGCAUUUUAAAGGAAGUUUUCGGAUGGAAUUUGAAAUGACUGACCGUUAAGACGGGAGAGUAACGCGUGGGUAACCUGCCUCAUACAGGCCUAUAACAGUUAGAAAUGACUGCUAAUACCGCACAAGCACACAGUACCGCAUGGUACGGUGUGAAAAACUCCGGUGGUAUGAGAUGGACCCGCGUCUGAUUAGCUAGUUGGCGGGGUAACGGCCCACCAAGGCGACGAUCAGUAGCCGACCUGGGAGGGUGACCGGCCACAUUGGGACUGAGACACGGCCCAAACUCCUACGGGAGGCAGCAGUGGGGAAUAUUGCACAAUGGGGGAAACCCUGAUGCAGCAACGCCGCGUGAGUGAAGAAGUAUUUCGGUAUGUAAAGCUCUAUCAGCAGGGAAGAAAGUGACGGUACCUGACUAAGAAGCCCCGGCUAACUACGUGCCAGCAGCCGCGGUAAUACGUAGGGGGCAAGCGUUAUCCGGAUUUACUGGGUGUAAAGGGAGCGUAGACGGCACAGCAAGUCUGAAGUGAAAUCCCCGGGCUCAACCCGGGAACUGCUUUGGAAACUGUUGGGCUGGAGUGCUGGAGAGGCAAGCGGAAUUCCUAGUGUAGCGGUGAAAUGCGUAGAUAUUAGGAGGAACACCAGUGGCGAAGGCGGCUUGCUGGACAGUAACUGACGUUGAGGCUCGAAAGCGUGGGGAGCAAACAGGAUUAGAUACCCUGGUAGUCCACGCCGUAAACGAUGCAUACUAGGUGUCGGGGAGCAAAGCUUUCCGGUGCCGCCGCAAACGCAGUAAG